rfam:Canis lupus familiaris chromosome 7, whole genome shotgun sequence.
GUAAAAAAUGUUGGCAAUACACAGAUUAACAUUAGAACAAUAAAGAGAUGAUUAGCAUGGACCCUGAAUAGAGAUGACUUGCAAAUACAUGAAGCAUUUUUAUUUGUA